rnacentral:lncRNA from 1 species
UUCCCUCGUCCAUCUCUUCAGCCGAUCGGGGCGGCUGGACGACGCGCGCGAGAUCUUCCAGGGAAUGAUCGACAGAGCACGGUUUCUUGGAAUAUCGCCAUCACGGCCACGGCCAAGGCCGGCACGGCCGAUCGGCGCUCCAGCUGCUGGAAUCCAUGGCGCUCGACGGUUGCGCGCCCGACGCGAUCACAUUCUCGUGCCACAUUGGAUCGAGCGUGCCUUGGUACCUAUAGUUUCAUAAUAAAAACCAUUACAUUCUAGAAAAUGCAUUUAAAAAAAAGUGCUUACUUCAUUGGAUGAAUGGAAAGAAACAGAAGCCUCAUUCCCAGAUGCAUCUUUCCAGAUAUGACAGACAUAACAAGGUAGUAGCAAAAGAUUGCAAACGUGGUGGUUCCCAGCAAGCCUGAAAAGAAGGAAACUAUUCAGGUCUAGAGAUCGCAUCGACAGAAAGUACCCCCGACAGUGUCAAGCUGAAUAAAGACUUGAUUCAGAAACGGAAAAGCUGGAGGAUUGACAAGCAUGAAAACAAUGAUGUGGAGAAGCCAAAUUAUAGACAAAGCCAAACUGCAACAAGAGAAAUAAUAAGACUGAAUCUUUUUCUCAAGGACUUUCUUACCCGACAAUGCCAAAAACAAGCUUGGCUAGGUAGAAGAGAACCGUAAGUGUCUGCCUGAGAGAAAACCAGCAGUAGAAUCAGCACAAAAACUUAAAUGGUAAACUAGAACGGUACCUUCUCUCCCUGUGGGAAUGCCUCAUUCAGAGCUUCAACAUCAUCUUCCAAAAAGACAAGCUCCUGAAUCGAGCUACACAUAUGCGUUUGUCAACAUGAUCACGUCCACCAUUUACUUUUGUUUCUGUGCGCAGUGGUGCUCACCUGCUGGACUUUCUUCACAUUUUUUCGAAACAUCCGUCCUUUCUUCCCACCUCUCUCUUCGCGUUGGAGGCCCAAAGUCGCCGUUUUUAGCUCGUUAGAGCGCUUGGCUAGAUCAGUCGCCUCCUGUAAAGCCAUCACCUUGAAGAUAUUAGUUGCAAGAAAUGAGAACAAAUCACACACACACCUUUACGUAUUGAGCACGAGUAAUAACACACUUGGGCCUAUUCUUGAACGCAAAUAUGAGGCUCAGUGGUAAUGUUGCCAUUCCAACACCUCCAAACAUCUGCAGGAAGGAAAUCAGAUCUUCUAGAAAACAACACAUAAAACGACAUUACCAUGAAGAGUAUUGAUCCUAUUAUUGUGUUUAAUGUGAUCACGUAAGUCACAGAUAGUUUUAACCAGAGAUCCAGACAUAUAAGCUGCACACUGUCACACAAUGUUGUCAGAUCAAUGAAGAAAGGGAAAAUGUAAAAGAAAAGGCUUACCAUGAGAGUAACAUUAGAAAACAAUGAGAAACCAGCCGAAACCAAGCACGAAGCCUUUGCAUUGAGCGAGCUAAAAUCAUUAAUGAACGCCAUCGUUGUGGAUGAAAGACUUCUCAUGGUGAAAUCGGCAUAACCAAUAACAGCUUCAAGCAAUCACGUAGAAAAAGGGUUUAAGAACAAAAGAUGGAAAAGAGCUUCUUACCAUAGAGAAUUCCCAAAAGGAGGCAGAAAACUGUGAGGAGUAUCACCACCCACAAGAGAGCGUUCUUUACCCUUUGUGUCACAGUCCUGGAAAUCACCACGAACAAAGAAAGCUUUUGAGAUCAUGGAGGAAUAGAAAGAACUUAAGAAACUCUAGGAGGAGCUCGGUCGAUCGAGUAUUCUAAGAACAAGAACAAAAAGAUGGAAGAUUACUUCUCCUGAUCGCUCUCGUAGAAGAAGAUCGCGAAAGGAAUGACGAGCACAGUGUCGAUGAUGUAAACCGCCCACCAUAGCUGCUUCAUCGGGAGAGUGAGCUUACACGCCCCGACGUAGAGAUUCUUCUCGCAGGAAUGGCGAUUCGCGACGUCCGCCGGGAGCAUCAGGAUCGAGAGUUGGGCAAUGCUGAGCCCAAUCACGACGAUGAUCUUGGGAAGAUAGGCCUGAUUCUGGAGCGCGUGAUGCCGGGGAUCCAGCGUCUCGAGGAGCUGGAGAACGGGGAGCGUAAUGCCGGUGGCGAUGGAUCCUCAGCUCCUCGGCCGCGGUAAUCUAUAGCGUGCCGGGCGGAUUGAGGGAUCCAGGGCGAUUGUGUGUCGUGGAGCAAUGGGAACCAGCUCCAGCUCUCCUACAUCGAGAAUGCUGUGGGAGGCGGUGGAAGAGUCACGGAGAUUCAUCUGGGAGAAGGAUGGGAUGCCGAGAGGCGGCGACUGGCGUAUGAUUCUCUCCCGGCUUUUGCUCUUCUCCAGAACCAGCGGCAAUUGGGCUACAACCCUGGCGACUGGUCACUGGUAUGAAAAAUUCUUCUCUUUUUCUCUAGAAACGCUAGUUGUGAUCGCAGGUGGGAGCAUGUUUUAGAAUAUAGCGAGAGCAUUCGCAGCGUUCUCGACCAGCCCACCCAAGGCAAGGUUGUGUGAGAGAAUGAUGUGAAAGAUUCAUUUGAUUUAUUUAUUUGUUUUGUGCAGGAGGAGAAGACCUCGAUGCUUAAGGCUGUGUGGGAGCUCAUAGAAGUUUUCUAUGUGGACAGAAGCGCGACAUGGUGGCUUCCGGAGCGUCUUGUAGACUGGCUAGCGGUAAGAAGCAGUGAGUUUUUUCUUGACUUACGAUUGAUUUGCCUGUGAGCUUUGCAGAAGUAUGACAAAGUCCUCUUGAUUGAUGAGGACACUGUACAUUCCAAGGUAGUGUCGUUCCAGCGGAAGCUUUCCGAGAUUCAAGUAAGUUCGAAGUCUUGCAGCUUUUUGUUUUCUCUUUGUGUAUCGUUGUUUAACUUGCACUUGCAGUUUCCCGAAGACGAUGCAGCUUACUGGGAUGCAAUGGCCUCGGCCUUGUCAGUCGGAUGGCUUGACGUUGUUGUAAGUUGUAAAACUGUGCGUGUAAGUUCCAUUGGUAAUCUCAAUCUUCCAGAUAGCGUUCUUGCGGAUGCAUGGAUCGUAUCGAUUGGAUCAGCUUGAUGACCGGCAGGUUUCUUUCUCCAUGCUGUUUUGUUGACUUGCGUUAACUUCCGGAUGCUUUUUUAUGUCUUGGCAGACUGAAAAUGGCCUCGUAGAAGCAGUUACACUGCUCAUUAUGCAAAUGCCGCGGCUGCGCCCAAGGCUCCCUGAUGAAAGUCCUGGUGUUGCUAUAGGUUUUAAGCCUGACUCUUCUAAGGUUUGAUGUGGUUGCAGCAAAGUUUUUAGUUUCUCAGAUUUUAUUACAUGCAGGCGAGGGAAAAAUGGCGAAGUCAGGUUUCCAAGCUUGAAAAUAGUGUGUUUUGGGCGGAAUGCAACCACCGUGGGACGCUUCUUGGUCUUAAGAAGCUAAUACAGGUGCUAUUGGGAAACGUUGAUGUUCUACAGCUCUCUACGUUUCACUGGAUGGAGCUGCUGGUGGCGCAUUUCCUACAUCUGAUACCUUUUUCUUUGGUAUGUAUGAACUGUGUAGUGUGCUCAGUUCACUUGCAAUUAUCGGGUGCAGGUCUUAGAUGGAAUGCGUAGCAUAGCUUCCAAGUGCAAAAGAUUGAAAAGUUCUGGGGACGAAGACCUUGAAGAACUUUUAUCUGCAAUUAUCAGCAACGACACCGAGGUAAAUGCUCUUCCCCGUCACAGUGGAGUUUAAUCUAGCACUAUACAGAUACUCUUGGCGAAGUGUUCGAAGGUUUUCAAUGCCUGGUAAGAACUUCUCAUGUCGAAUAUUGAUAUAAAUUUUCUAUCAGGAUGAUGGCGCAUGUUGAUGAUCUCCUGAUAGCAAAAGGGGAGGACGUUCGAUCUCUUCUUGAAGAAGACAGGCAAACUCUAGGCGGCUUGAGCUUGAAAGAACUCCAUCGUUUGGUUUAUUCUCAAGUACUGUCUUCGCACAGCUUAACCUGGCAGGUAUAUCGUUGAUUUCUUUGUUCUUGAUGUUUGUCUAACAAUUAUCUCAGCUAGCACCUGUUUACCUCGCGGCUUGCCCAAAGCAAGGCCUGGGAAUGCUUGAAGCUCUCCUAAUGAAGCAGAGUUGUUCCAAUCAGAAACUGGCAUUGAAGGUUGGUCUUGGUGUGACGUUUUCUUGAAUCUUAAUGUGAAUUUUGUGCAACAGGCACUAGAGAUAUGCCGCCUCUAUGAACUUGAUACCGUGAGCACAGCCAUCGCCAGGGUUUAGUAUCUUCUUCCUUUCCAGGCUUGGGGUUCUCACAUGUGUUUUAUGUCUUCCAGGCUGUUGGUGUUCAUAGUUUAAAGCAUGGAAAGAAGGGCCAAGGGAUAAUGUGGCUUCAAUUGGCCCGAGACGAGCAGAGGCUUUCUACUCUUGUGGAUCAGAUUUUGAACACAAUAACGUCUGGUGAAGCUGAUAGUCUGGAUAAUCUCGAGGUAGCAGUCUUACGUUUUAUUUGAUACACGCACACUUUUAACGCUCUUUUCCCGUGCCAGCAUUUUGAGGGUCUCUGUGACAUCCUUGGCUCGGGAGCAACGAAGCAUCAAGGCCUGUCGUUCCUAGCAAGGUACUCACUUUAUACAGUUGCGAAACUAUCCGGAGCUCACUUCUAACUUCACACAGGUACAAAAGCUUUAAGGCAGCGCUGCAAAACAUCAGAGAUCUGUGGCUUCCUACACCGAAAACCUCGCUGUGACUUCUCUUCUCCAGGUUACCAAUCCGUUCGGAACUUCUUCUUGCUCACUAAAACCCCGGCUUGCAGCUUCUAAAAUCUGGAACCUUUCCACGUAAAUUCUGGCUGUCCUUGCUCCAAGAAUCAGUAUGGAGCUGUUCUCACAUCUCGUUUACACUCUAAAAUUCGGAUCUAUCAGGUGGAGCUGCUGGAAUGGCCGGAGCAAGUGCUGGUUAGCGAGUCCGAAACAAACACUCUACUCUGCUGCCUCCAGGAACUCUUCCUCGCCAGGGACCGGCUAGAGAACGACAUCCUAGGCACCGCAGAGCCUGGCGCUUUGGAUCGCCUGAGAUUGGCGCUGGCAUCCAACUUGGGCCGUGCCAUCUUGCAAAGCUGAUCGUAGCUUGGCAUAGAUUCUCUCUGUCCAAAAAUCACUAGCUGAUUCUCAGCGUGCAACAAAUGUAGUUGCUCCACCACGAUCGCUGCUGCUUAUGCCGGUUGUCACCACCGCUACCAAUGCUACCAGCGCCACCGCUAAACUUUGGCGAGGGGUUUCUAACAUUCUCGAUGGCUUUCAUCAGGACGUUGUUAUUGGUACGCUUGGGUGGUGGCAUCAAUCAACACCUCCCUAUCCUGCCUUGGAAGUCAGGCUCCCAAUCUCAGACAAGCGCAAACAAGCUUUUGCUACUCUCCCCUAACAGUGUGAUUUCACCCUGUUGACGUUCACGGCCCAUUUCCUUCACCAUCAAUUCUCCAAAGGGUUUUUAAAGUUGUAAAAGUUGACUUAGUGGACCUGUGGGUUUCCACAAGCACUGGUUCCUUUGCGACGAUGCGGUUCCAGGCAAAGUCGUCUACUCAUUUGGCGAGGAGAGGACGCUGCAAUCUACCCAGAGCAAUGUACGGCAGUUUAUCAUGCCCUAAAAGCAUAUGCGUAAAGAAUAUGAUACCUGAUUUUCUUGGCGUUUUCUGUUUGGUGUAAAUGCGUUUAACUCAUUUUCUGCACUAAACUAAUCUUUCAGAACGCUCAAUCCACCCAAUCACCUUUUUUUUUUUAACCUGCAGGUUUGGAGGUAUAUGUAUGACAAAGUCAUGCAGCUGCGAUGAGUCAAGCUAUACUUCAUUUUGGGAUAAACAUGUUUUGUGCACUAAAUUAACUCAUUUACCCCAUUAUAAAAAUGGAGUCUUCUUCUGGUGUACAUACUUCUUCUGAAGGUGAAUUGCAAUGGCAACAAUGGCGACAAUGCAGGGAGCCUUGGUGACAUUGUGGCGAAUUUUGAUUUCAGCAAGGUAAAGUGGAACCUGUCUUGCCCAAAGCAGUGCUUAACUCCUUGUGGAAUGCUCCAGAUUGAUGUGCGUUCCAAGAGUUCCGAGGAUUACCUCCACACCAACCUGGCACCAUCGUUUGGGGCAUUGAAUGCAGAAACAGUGAAGAAGAUGGAUGAGGUUCUCAAGGUUUGCAUCUCAGGAACUACCACUCUUCUUGCCACAGUGCCACCAGAAGAGCGAACUUGGGAGAAGGUCAACUCCAUGUUCAUGCAAAAUCCCCUGGUUGAGCCAAUGGGCGAUGGGGUUAGCAGAGCUGACAAGUUUCUCAACAAACUCCCGAAGGAUCACAUUUUUCAAGGAGCUAUUGUGAAAGCAGUAGUAGAAGUUAUAUAUUAUAGAAGCUAUUAACCUUUGCGGCCUUCUCUCGUCACAGGUCCGGACCUGGUUUGUGAAUCUGAUUGCAGAUGAGGACGUCCUGAAAUCAACCAAGAUCGACAUUGAAGUUCUUCAGGAAAUUCUUGCGCAGUCUGCCAAGCAUGAGCACCACGAGAAGACCAUAGUUGACAUCGUGGUCUUAAGGUACCCUGAUAUGGAAAACCCGUACUUCAAGGUUUGUGCCCAGGCUGCCCUUUGUAUUUCAGUCACAGCUCAUGCUUAUGAGUACAGGUGUACCGCAUCAAACUCUUUGCUUCGUCUGAUAGCACCCAUAUUUUGUUCCAUCAGGUGGAUUCCAAUGGCAUCAUUGGAGGUGAGGUGUCUAAUGUAAACCACUGAAGACUGCACGCUCCUUUUGUUCUAUUUGCAGAGUUCACCUUCCAUAAGUUUAAGCCACACAAGGAGGUCAUUGACAAGAUGAACCCAGACGCCAAAAAGAAGGCUGUGGAGGCUGCAGAUAACAUCUUUGGUGACAUUGACAAGGCUGUGGAUGCAGAUAACAUCUUUGGUGUCAUUGGCAAGGUUGUGGAAGCUGCAGAUAACAUCUUUGGUUUCUAAUAUCCAGGCUGUGUCAAUUGAGCCAAGAUGCCCCCUGCUUCAAGCUAAAACAUCUUUCUAAAUAAUAAUCAAGUCAUAUCUUUCAUUUACUUGAAAAUAACAGUCUUUUUAAUCUCAAUUUCUGAAAGAGACAUUCAGGGAAACAACGGCUUCAUAGACCUGGAACGACAAACUACAUAAAAGUAAUAAAUAUAUAAAAGCUAGAUGCUUUGGAUUCCGUCAAUGUAGCAAAUUUUUGCCUUCCACUGGAAUAUUGGAAGGUGAUGAUAAGUUUAUCUAUGAGAGUCUAUAACGCUCAUACCUUCACGAUGUUGUUGAAACUUGUCUUUGCUCAAAGCUUUUGUCAUAAUGUUCUAUCUAUAUACUGUUUAUAGUCUUGUGGUGCCCAUCAAGAAGCAUUGAUAUAUUAAUAAAACGAAACAGGACAGUUUGAGAUCAUUAUCAUUGUCUCUUUGGUCUCUGUAGAUUCUUCGCACUCAAGGUUACCACAAGUUAGCCACGGACACGCUCAAUCAGCUCUAAGCCGAGUUGAUGGCUUGGCUGUGAGUGCCAUUUGGCUCUCCAUCUGGUGCCGGAUUUUCCCAUCCUGCUACUUUGAUGCAAACGACCCCAGGAACUCUGUCGCAAAAAUAUUGUAGAGCAACAAGGUCUCUCAGACAAGGUAAUAUUUAAGUUGACUUUGACAAGGAACAAAACUUCGAGAAUAGAACUUUAGAGAAUGCUAUUGGGCGUUUUUGUUGCAAACGGCUUGGCACAGUGCAGCCAGUGCUGAUGGAACAAGGCAAAGGGAGGCCCUCAGAACCGUCAAGCUUUUCCUCCUGUAACUCACGAACUUUGUCAUGAGCAUAUUGUAAGUUUUCUUUGGCAAAUGCUUAUGUACUGAUCAGUUGUUUCAGGCUAUUUCGGCAGCACAUCAGAGGUGUGACAUCUCCUGCUAUGGUCCUAGAGAUCUACUCCGGGAUUAGAUUUCUCGCUCAUUCAAGACAAUCCAGAUGUUAAGACAGUUGUAAAGUUUUAGAUUAAUUGUUCCUAGUGUUCCUCUAACAUGGCACUGUUUGGGUUUGAAAUCUGGUAAGCUAAAUGCGCAGGCCAUGCAUUUUGUAGAAUGUAUCCAAUCUUUCCAAAACAGCAACUUCCCUUAUUUCUUUUCCUACUUUCUUGUCUAGCUGAGAACACCUAUAGUUUCAUAAUAAAAACCAUUACAUUCUAGAAAAU